GCGGAGCGGCUGGUUGUUAAUUUUUUGCGUGCGGAAAAAUAGCAUAUCUAACUUGUGCUUUUAUUCCGAAUGCUAGCUUAAAGAAAUUGCUGAAUUGUGCUUUUUUGCAGUACAUAUUUACAUAGUGAAAAUUCAAAACGCAAUAGAAGACCAAGAAACGCGUGAUUUACAUCAAUGGCCCUUCGAGAAAGCCAAUUUUCAUACGAGCCAUUUUCCAGCCAUAGGCGAUAACUUAUUCUUCAAUAUGUUUCACGAUCCCGUUGUACUGAAUGAGCCAUCAUGUAGCAAUCUAGAUUUGCCAAUUUUCCACGCAAUUUUACAAAAUUGUUCUCAACUCAGAUCGUCAAUACAUCUCCGCAACUAUUCGAAAUGGACUUUAGCAGCGAUGAUUCUAUCAGAGAACCCGACUAUAUUGUUUCAAGUGCGAUCACGGAAUCAGAAAAGGAGAAUCAACCUGUUUAUAUUUCGGAGUCAAUAUUAGAGAGUCCAUAUGCCGAUACUGAUGAAAAUGUCCAAAAAUUUACUCAACCUCCCAAAAAUAUAAAAAAAGACAGACAAUUAAAUAGAAAUUCGGGAAGAUCGUACACCACGAAAAAAGGAAAAGUGGUUGCUGGUCGCAAGUGCCUACCUUUCGAAAGUUGCCCAAAGAAAUGCGCUCUGAAAGUACCUUUUGAAAAACAAAAGCACAUUUUUGAGGAAUAUUGGAGAAUGGGCGACUACAAAUCAAGGCUAUUUUUAUACUCUCGCAACAAAGUUGCUAAAGAGAGUAUUAUAGUUUUGUUCACAUAACGGUUGUUUGUAAGUCCUAAAACUAAAAGAGUCCGAUAUAGGGUUAUAUAUACCAAAGUGAUCAGGGUGACGAGUAGAGUUGAAAUCCGGAUGUCUGUCUGUCCGUCCGUCCGUCUGUCCGUCCGUCCGUGCAAGCUGUAACUUGAGUAAAAGUUGAGAUAUCGUGAUGAAACUUGAUACACGUAUUUCUUGGCUCCAUAAGAAGGUUAAGUUCGAAGAUGGGCAAAAUCGGCCCACUGCCACGCCCACAAAAUGGCGGAAACCGAAAACCUAUAAAGUGUCAUAACUAAGCCAUAAAUAAAGAUAUUAAAAUGAAAUUUGCCACAAAAGAUCACAUUAGGGAAGGGCAUAUUUGAACGUAAUUUUUUUGGAAAAGUGGGCGUGGCCCCGCCCCCUACUAAGUUUUUUGUACAUAUCUCGGAAACUACUAUAGGUAUGUCAACCAAACUCUAUAGACUCGUUUCUUUCAGGCAUUUCCAUAUACAGUUUAAAAAUGGAAGAAAUCGGAUAAUAACCACGCCCACCGCCCAUACAAAGGUUAUGUUGAAAAUCACUAAAAGUGCGUCAACCGACUAACAAAAAACGUCAGAAACACAAAAUUUUACGGAAGAAAUGGCAGAAGGAAGCUGCAUCCAGGCUUUUUUUUUAAAUUGAAAAUGGGCGUGGCGUCGCCCACUUAUGGACCAAAAACCAUAUCUCAGGAACUACUCUACCGAUUUCAAUGAAAUUCGGUACAUAAUAUUUUCUUAACACCCUGAUGACAUGUACGAAAUAUGGAUGAAAUCGGUUCACAAUCACGCCUUCUUCCAAUAUAACGCUAUUUUGAAUUCCAUCUGAUGCCUUCUCUGUAUAAUAUAUACAUUAGAAACCAACUUUACUCAAAUACGGUAUGUGAGCUGAGGUAUUCCUUGUGGAAAAAUUGUUGUGAUCGGACUAUAACUUUUCAAGGUCCCUGAUAUCGAACACGAAGAACUCAGUGCCCAACCUAACCUAACCUAAUUUUUCACCGAAAAUAUCGGUAGAUCUCUCAGAAUUUAUUUCUAAUUAAUUUUACAGCAAAAUAAAAAAAUAUGUAAAUGACGGAUAAUGAAAUCUCGAUUAUCACUUCAUCGUGCGAGAGUAUAAAAUGUUCGGUGACACCCGAACUUAGCCCUUCCUUACUUGUUCAUUUGUGGACUCGUCGAAAUUGUCGAAAAGCUAUCUGAAAAAAAAUCAACUAGAACGAAAAUUCGACGAAUAACAAACUAUUAUUCUGUAAAUAUUGAUAGCGACAAAGUUGACGUCUGUAAAGGUUGUUUUUUGAAGUGCUUUGGAGAAACAAACAGUUUUUUGAGGAAUGUGAUUGAAAAGAAACUUAAUUAUCCAAAAUCACCAUUGGCCGAUAAGAGAGGCAAGUCCACUCCAAUAAACAAGCUAAACGAAUCACAGGUCGAAACUAAAUAUUUAAGCUCCGACUUGUCAAUAUCAAAAAUGUACAGUUUGAAUGGCGAAGACGUUGAAACUCCUAUAAGUUUAGCAAAAUAUUCAGAAAUUUUCCACACAAUGAACUUAAAAUUCAAACAACCGAAACUUGAUACUUGUAAUAAAUGUGACUGCUUUAAAUCCCAAUUAGACCACAUCAAUAAAAAUAUGCCAGAAUAUACAAUGCUGAUUGAAAAACAAGCAAGGCAUCGCGCAGAUGCAGAUAGAGCUUAUAAAUCAAAGGAUUUUGAUAAAGAUCUGCCAAAAACUCACAUAAAUAUAAAAACGUACACAUUUGAUUUGCAGCAAGUUUUACCAACUCCUUACCUCAAAACCUCAGUCUGCUACUAUAAGAGGCAAUUGA